rnacentral:RNase_P_RNA from 1 species
CGAGUCAAAAUUGCCACUCUGCGAAACUCUGAACUCAUGUAUCAGAAGGUAUCCCUAAACUUCACAAAAAACAACAGAAUUAUGUAAAUGUUUAUCAAACUUUCACAUUAUUGGUAUGAGGCAGUUUGCCCACCCGGAGCAAUCCGCGGGAUUAGUGCAACAGAAAACAGACCGCCUUUUAGCAAUAAAAGGUAAGGGUGAAACGGCGGUGUAAGAGACCACCAGUAACUGCAGCAAUGUAGUUAGCUAUGUAAACCCCACUUGGAGCAAGACCAUGCAGUUGGCGUUUGAGAGCUGCUCGCUCGAGUCAACGGGUAGGUUGCUUGAAUCUGUAAGUAAUUACAGAUCUAGAUGGAUGGUGAUCCGUUUUCGCUGCGAAAGUAACGAGAACGACAGGAUCCGGCUUAUAGGGCGACUCUUCUU